GGAGGAGGGAGAGCGCUGGGUAAAACUGGUGGAAACAAAAUCAGGUCGCCUGUGGAUGGAAAUUCAUCCCAGAGUUUGGCUCUGCUGCCGGAGGGGAAGGUGCGAUGAGGCUGUGGCUCUGCUCACAGAAAAGUUAAUUAGAGGAGGCUGGGAUCUGAGAAGUGAGAAGUACCAUUGCCGAAGCAGCUCCUCCGAGCUCCUUUUAUUGCUCCUCUGACCUGAACAGGAGCACAGACCUCAUUCUUGCUCCUUCCAUGCCAUAUUUCCACCAAACGGCUACAACGUGGGAAGCAGCCAGGAAUUAUCAGAUGCUCAGAUAAGAUGGAUCCCAUGGCUGAGUUGCAGUUUUUCGGCAGAUUUCAGGAAGGACGCUUGGAGAAGUUUGCUGAGCCAAGGGAUCUCCACGGAGAGGAAGCAGCACCAAAGGACAGACAGCUUCCAGGAACAAUCUGCUGAGCUCACAAAUCCAAAGGUGAUUUGUUGAGCUGUCACCUCUCGGCGGAGGGGUUUGAAAACCCCGCUCUUUUCCAGGGGCCUCUUCCAUCACCACUGGUAAUAAGGAAUCCGGGACUGGAAACUGCCUGACACGCUGCUGAUGGAUGCACAAGGCUGAGUAAACUCCAGCUUUUGCUCUGCCACAGCUCCCUCUGCUUAUCAGGGAUAAUAAGGAGCCGUAAUUCAGCCUCAGUUUGAGUUAACGCAGAGGUGCACGCAAGGAAGAUUAAAAAAAGCAGGAUGGUCUAGUGGGUUAAGACAGCUCUGAGGCCUUAAUUCAAUCCCAAAUUUAAAAUAAUCGUGGUGGCUGUGCUCUACACUGCCUCGCCCAACUGUGAGAAAAGCAGUGUAGAAUUAGUCAAAGUUAUUCAUAUGGAGAGAAUUUCUUUUAACGGGAUUGCUUUUUUUUUUUUUUUUUGACCAAAGCAGGUAGAGGGACUGCCCAAGGUUUCAAGGAGCUUUUCCCAAGAUUUCGAGGAACAUUUCCCAAAUGGUUUUCAUGGUUCUGUCAUGAGCUUUCCCAAAUGGUGAAAGACACCUGUGCCACAUGAUGGGGAAAAAUAGAAACUGUUGUGGGGUAGCUGGAGAAAGGCUGUAGUUGAAUGUAUUAUCCAAAUCUCCUGAUUUGUGGGAAUUAGUGGCUCAAAUAAAGCAGAACUCAUUUUCUUCCUUUCUCACAGUGCACAAACAGGAGAAUGCGGAAAGGAUAGAAAAGGGAAAUAGAAAAAAAAAAAAAAAAGGAAAUAAUAAAAAAAUGAACUUUAAAAAAACCCUUAAUACUAAAAAAAAACCUUAAUAAAAACCCUUUUUGCAUUGGAAAAAAAAGAAAAAACCAAAACAAUUUGGGAGUUACCAGAUCAUUGGUAGUAACACCAUCACAUAUUAUAAAUGCAGCUGCUGACAAGUUCUAGUGCAGGUUCCCGUUGCCUCUCAAAAACUGAAUGGAAAAGAAGGAAUAAGCCAACUUUCCAGUGAAGGGUUUGGAAACAGCUUGCAAUAAAGACAAGUUUGUCAUUGCCCUGGUGACCGCUUGCUUGGAUGGAGACUGGAGGAGCAGCCAGAUCAUUCCUUCAACCCCCAAAACCCAAAACUACCUUCCCGAUACCUGUGCAGGAGCUCAGCUGGAGAACAUGGAGAUGACAUUGCUCCGGCUCCAAAACUUGGUGUAAGGGUGUGAAAUGCCGGGUUCCCCUCCCCAAACACCCAGAGCUAAUUAGUCCAUGUGGAACGAAGCUGCUGCUGCCAGAGCUAGCAGGGGUUCCUCUCCUCGGUGCCACGCAGACACGGGGGAACAGUCAGGCAAAAAUAAACCAGCACAACUGAAAACGUCCCGGGCUUGCCGUGGCAGAAAAAAAAAAAAAAGCCAAUCACACAAGUGAUGAUAUUGAGAAAAAUCACUUCAUUUCUUCCGUGGAAAAUAUUCAAAGGCGGUCAAGAUGCCAAAAAAAAUUAAGUCAUGCUUUUAUAACCCAUUAGGAGAUGGAGAAAAAUGAGGGAUGAUCACUUCCUUUAGAUACCUUAAAAAUCAGGUAACUCACUUGCCCGUGUAAAAACAUGCAUAGGUUAUGAAUUUUUAUUUCCAGAACAUGUCAUCUCUAUGACUGACACGCUCAGAGUAUAAUUUUCCCUGUGCAAAGGUGGAGCAAUUUUGGUUAGGCAACGUUUAUUGCUUUGCAUUCUUCUUUUUUUUUUUUUUUUUAAUUGAAUUAACUACAUUUUAAAUCAGUGUUUUCAGAGAAAGCUCAUUGGGAAGAAAUUUGGCCUAAUGAGACCCGAAGUUGUGGAGCCAGAAAUCCAAAGUCCUUUUUUCAAGAGCUGUUAAAGCCUGGUCCAAACUGAAAGAGGAGGAAAGAGUCCCGUGGACUCUUCAAAGGGUCUGACUCAGGCAGCUUUUUCUCUGUGGC